ensembl:lncRNA
AGGUGUUCAGUCAGUCGUGAAUCAUGAGGGUGGACAUCAGCAGCUGCCUGUUGGUCUUGAUCCUGGGCUUUAAUGUCACUGCAGUAAUGAGCGGGAGGGGCUCCUUCUCCAUGCCUCGUGUUCGCCUUCCGGUGUUCAAACCUCCGCCUCCAGUGUACGUCCCUCGUCUUCCAGAAAUCAAUCCUCGCCUUCCACAAUUCAAUUAUCGCCCUCCAGUGUACAACCCUCGCCCUCAAGAAUUUAACUUUCGCCCUCCAGUGUCCAUCCCUCGCCUUCCACAAUAUAAACCUCCCCCUCCAGUGUCCAACAGUCGGCUUCCAGAAAUCAAUCCUCGCCUUCCACAAUUCAAUUAUCGCCCUCCAGUGUACAACCCUCGCCCUCAAGAAUUUAACUUUCGCCCUCCAGUGUCCAUCCCUCGCCUUCCACAAUAUAAACCUCCCCCUCCAGCGUUCAACGGUUGGCUUCCAGAAAUCAAACCUCGCCCUCCAGUGUCCAACUCUCGCCUUCUAGAAUUCAAACUUCGCCUUCCAGAAUUCAACUUUCGCCCUCCAGUGUACAACUCUCGUUCUCCAGAAUUUAACUUUCGCCCUCCAGCGUCCAUCCCUCGCCGUCCAGAAUUCAAACCUCCACCUCCAGUGUCCAACUCUCGGCUUCCAGAAAUCAAACCUCGCCCUCAAGUGUCCAACUCUCGCCGUCCAGCAUCCAAACGUCACCAUCUAGAAAUCGACCCUGAACUUCUGGAGCUUAUCUUUGGCCUUCCAGCGUCCAGCCCUAACCCUCCAGCGCCCGACCCUACAACAUCCAGUCCUAACCCUCCAGCAUCCAACCCUAACUCUCCAGCGUCCACUCCUCGCCCUCCAGUGUUCCAUCAUCCUCGACUUGCAGACAAACAAAACAUUCAACGAGUUCUUGCAGACCCAGACAGAUUCUUAUGUUACAGAGAGUCAGCGCUGCAACUUCCCGCUAUCCAACCAGAAGAAUGCCAAAAACCCUUCGAUCAGAACAUGUCCAUCAUUCUCAGCUGUCCUCCGUCUGUGGAGGGAAACGUGAUGUGGAGCAGAGAGACAAAUGGAAGCAAAGUUGACAUACUGACAGCUGAUGGUGACAAAGGAAAGAAACACAUCCAGGACCUGGACGGACGAUACAGUUUACUGGCAAAUAAAUCACUUCUUAUUGUCAGAGCUGCUGUCUCUGACGCUGGAAGAUACUUCUGUAACAGGGAAGCAGCUGGGGAGCUGACCGUGAUGAAUUCAGUUGCUCCUAAACACCACAAACAUCAUGAUUUGAUGGAUGAAGUGUCCACUGUCGACUACGGCAUCCUCUUCCUUGGCUUAUUCGCCAUUGCCUUCCUCGUCGUCCUCCUGUUGACUGUGUGUUACGGGUACCGCAAACAAAGAAAUAAAGGGAAACGGCACGUCCAGGAAGAGAUGCAGGAUGGAUUAGAAUGUCAACCUAGAAAUGAAUACUCUGCUUAGCUUUGGGCACAAAAAAACACAUGGUUGAAGAAAAAACAUCAUGUUUGGCUUCGAAAAGGCUUCAAUCGGCUGGAAAUGUCCCCGGGUCUUCUUAGAAAAACAGAAUAAUGGUGAUCAUCGAUUGUACCAUUGUAAUAAAAACAAAUAAAGCUCUCUCUCUCUCUUUUUUUGAUUCUGAUUUAUUCACAAAAACUACAAAAUGCACCUUUAACCAAGCAACACAGUGUAGGACAAAGACUGAGCAGUUUGAAAUACAUAAAACACAUUUUCCAUCACAGUCAACAGUGAGCUUUUCUACCAAAAUGGUUCUUAACGGAAUUCUUAAUCUUAUAAAUAACUUCAGUAACAAACAGCUCGAGGUAGAAAUGGUUAAAAGGUUCAUUUCAUUGUCUGGUUUGUUAAUUUAAGAUGAAUACUCUUCAUGCUACAGAAGGAAAAUGUUGAAUUUGUUGAAGUGAACAGUAAGUCGUACAUUUUGUUAAAGCCUCAAAAACAUUUUUACAACCAACAUCUUUUAUCAGAGGAACCUUUAAAUAUAUAGUUUCUUGGCUAUAUACACCAAAUAUUAUUCUAUAAGACUGAAGCUAAAGCUAUGGCCACUGAAAGCACAGUCCUCCUUGGCAGAGGUUUUAAAAUGCAGAGCCAAAACCACCAGAAGAGACUGUUGAGGUGUGCAGGACGUCCAGCAGCUCCGUCCACCAGACACCUGUGAGGAGACACCAGAGGACAGAGCAGCAGAUAUCACAAACAUAAGAAUGAGAGCAACAAAACAACAGCUGAACAAUACAAAGUGUAUUUUAACAUCAGAUGUAAAUUCCUCUGUCAGAGGUUUCUAGAGAUUGUACCUCUUGUUUCUGUGUGACGGAGGAUCAGACGUCAUUUUCUCUUUGUGUCGCGCGUCGCUUCUGUUUCUGUCGAGCUGCCAAAGACAGAAGACGAACAUGGAGACGACAUUUUAAUUUAACUUCUGUAUUAACUUCUUAGUUUGUUUGCAGAAUAUCUUAUAAACACUUCUUCAGGUUCAGUGACGCCUGGUAGAAA